rnacentral:rRNA from 1 species
UACGUAGGGGGCAAGCGUUGUCCGGAUUUAUUGGGCGUAAAGCGCGUGUAGGUGGCCUGGUAGGUCCGCUGUGAAAACUUGAGGCUCAACCUCAAGCUGUCGGUGGAAACCCCUUGGCUAGAGUCCGGAAGAGGAGAGUGGAAUUCCUGGUGUAGCGGUGAAAUGCGCAGAUAUCAGGAAGAACACCAAUGGCGAAGGCAGCUCUCUGGGACGGUACUGACACUGAGACGCGAAAGCGUGGGGAGCGAACAGG